UAUGGCCAUAUCAUGUUGAAACACCAGUUCUCAUAUGGUCUCCGAAGUUAAGCAACGUUGAGCCUGGUCAAUAUCUAGAUGGGUGGCCACCAG